rnacentral:lncRNA from 1 species
UAAUAGCGUGCCAUACGUAACUAAACUGAUUAAAAGCUAUGCCGUCUAGCGUCAGAAAAAAGAAACGUUCAACAGUAACAUGUAAACAAUGUCCGCUUUAGCUCGUUGACACUCAUUGAAAGAAUUAACAAACAAAGACAAAUAACUUUGGUACUCGCGUAAUAUUCUCCCCUCCAAUUUCUAACUCGUCUUCACCAAAAAUCCACUGCAGCAUCGCACAUAUCACAAGAGACGAAAUUCCCAAGCUCUUGAUGACCAUGUUCCAGCCGUUAAUGGAGUACAGAUGCUGACUGAUGAGAUGGUGAAUGCUGUUCUUAAAGCUGUUGCUGUGGUGUCACAUUUCAUUGUGUUGUUUGUUCAUUUGUCAAUCAUGUCAAAUCUCUUCCAUAUCUGGCACUCAAAUCUCAUCUGUGCAGUAUACAACUGAGAGAUAAUUACAGGUAAUUGGUCAAGAGUCAAGACACAGUCCAACACAUUAUGAACCAUUUGUCAGCAUGGAAAGCUGAUGGAUUUCACCACACCAUUCACCCACCACCUGAGAGAUCUGAUAGACAGAACUAUGAAUCUAAAUGAGAAAUUUCAAUUAAAAAUUAGUGAAUACAUUUUUCUUGUAUUUAAUAACAUGGAAGAAGUACAGUUAACCUUAGCAGUA